rnacentral:sRNA from 1 species
UUCUAGAUCUACUGUUUACCGGCGAGUUGGAAGAAACCUUGUGGUCAUCGUGUUUCCAGAAGUACUGUCUAACGAUCUUAAUCUAGAUCUAGAUCUAUUUUGUUUGUCCUGAUUUCAUAGCGCAGCCUGUUGAAAUUCCAAGAUAGACGUAGUAUGACAAAGAACCAAAUGAGACUAGGGCUUUUUGCCCUGAUUGUUAUUAUAUCCUGGACAUCUGUAGCUGGUCGACUAGCUGUGAUGUCCAUUGACUUGGGAGGAGAGUACUUUAAAGUUGCUAUAGUUAAAGUAAGUCAAAUACUAGACA